UGGGGAAUAUUGCACAAUGGGCGCAAGCCUGAUGCAGCCAUGCCGCGUGUAUGAAGAAGGCCUUCGGGUUGUAAAGUACUCUCAGUCGGGAGGAAGGUGGUAAGGUUAAUAACCUUAUCAAUUGACGUUACCGACAGAAGAAGCACCGGCUAACUCCGUGCCAGCAGCCGCGGUAAUACGGAGGGUGCAAGCGUUAAUCGGAAUUACUGGGCGUAAAGCGCACGCAGGCGGUUGAUUGAGUCAGAUGUGAAAUCCCCGGGCUUAACCCGGGAAUUGCAUCUGAUACUGGUCAGCUAGAGUCUUGUAGAGGGGGGUAGAAUUCCAUGUGUAGCGGUGAAAUGCGUAGGGAUGUGGAGGAAUACCGGUGGCGAAGGCGGCCCCCUGGACAAAGACUGACGCUCAGGUGCGAAAGCGUGGGGAGCAAACAGG
rnacentral:rRNA from 1 species